ACAUUGCAUCAAUGUUUCAUUCUUCUCAACAAAGUAUAUUUGAUUAUAAAAACUAUAGAUUAUAAGACCCCUACACAUCACAUCUUUAUAUAUAAAAGAAGCAUUGUAUCUCUCCUGGGCAUGCUAGCUCGGAUGCCACGUUGGAAAUAGGAGCUCCCUCGCGCUGCCACGUCGGAUCUGCACCGUUUCACUAAAGUUUCUGUCUGAACGGGCUUCACGCGCUAACCAGAGGAUUCUUCUUCGCGGGGCCCAUCUGCACAGAUCUUCUACGGAAAACCCUAAUCAGAUGCUCCCUUCCUGAUCUUCGUUCGUCUUCUAUCGGCACAGCGAUCGUCCAGAAUCUGUAACGGUUAUGCUUUUAGUCGUCUUUAAUCGUCUUUAAUUCCUACCCCACUCAAAUCAACCUCUUGAGCCGUUCAUCCGCUAUAUUGUGUAUAACCACAGCUUGACACUGGUCCAAUCCUAAAAUCCUAAGCGUUAUUCAUUGUCGGUGUAUGUGCGUCCUUGCAAUGUCGUUUCGAUCGAAGUUCAGUGCACCUCCUCUUUACCCAUGGAAGCGUAACGGACUGUCUACGACUUCCACUAACUGGCAUUCAAGAAGACGAUCAUCUUCCUCGAAGAAUUUUGCGAAAUAGAGCAGCCAAGAGAAUCCUCCAGCUAGAACUUAUCGAUCUGCGAUGUUCUCGGCUGUUAUGAAGCCUUUACUCUCUCCAUCACCGUUGCUGUUUCGCCUUCCCCUUUUCUUCUUCUUCAUAUUCUCUCUCACUCAGUUACAAAAAAAAAUAUAUAUUCUCUCUCACUCUUCUUUCACAUCUUUCCCUUAUCCUCCUCUCCCUUUCAUUCCCUUCACCUAUUAAGCCUCUCAUUUCCUCUCGCCGUAACUACAGUCGCCACAGCCUCUCUCCGACCACUACCUCUCAUGUCCCGUUCCUGAGAAGCCUCUUAGUGUAGCCGUCCUACCUACCUCAAAAUCUGGUUCCAAGAAGGCUUUGAAGUGCCCCUGGGAAUAUGAUUUGAAGUAUGCAACACAUAUCUGUGUGCAGAGCAAUGAAAGGGAGGAUCUUUACUGCUUCUUGUGGUGCCAUUUUACAAGUUGAUGUAACAUUGGAGGUUGUGCAUUUAACUGAUGAAUACUGGGAAAGAGUUGGGCAUUCAUGGAUGCAAUCAUUGAAAUGGAGUAUGAUUAAAUAGCUUCAGGUCUUUAUGCUAAAGUUGUCCAUCCUCCUGAUGGUCCAUCUGUUUUGGAACUCUCACAAGACAUGGUGCAAUAUCAGACCUACUUCCUCUCGCAUCUCUCUCAGUCCCAGCUUAAGCAACAGUUUCCUUUGAUGACCAGUUGUCAUUACAUAAAUAAUAUUAAGUUACAGCUUUUAGCUUCUGGUAAUGAACAUCAUCUCAAGCAUGAAAACUACCCAGGUUGAGCAGAAACAUUCGAGGCCAUUCUCAGCUUAAAGCUAUUUCAGAGCAACUUGCUUUAGCAAAGCAUAUGGGGUUCUUCAGGUGUCUCUACCUGCAAAUGUCCAAACUGAAAUCGAGCUGAUUGGAGAGAUACUGAGUUCUUCUAUAAGCUGCCAUCACUGCAAAAAUCACUAAUAGCUCCAGUGACAUAAGAAACGUUCUCAAUUCCGUAAGGGUGGCACUUAACACAGUUUCAAUCCUUAUUAUUACCUCUUGACAAUUCUUGGUCUCGGUAACAUGAAGCCACAAAGCGGACACUUGUUACCAACCUGAAACCAUUUUUCAAUACAAGAUCUAUGAAAGACAUGAGAGCAGCAAGGCAUAGAGGUUGCUUCUUCCGCAAGAAACAUCUCCUCGGUGCAAAUCACACAAGGGUCAAGCCGAUCCAUGUCUGGUCCAAGCACUUUGAAACGCUCCAACUCACAAACCGUAGUUUUAUCUGCAGGUACCGUACAUCUAAUCGAUGAAAUCUCAAUCUGAAUCGCCUCCAACAUGGCCUUAUUAGCUCUUCUAGACACAUAAGAGUGAUGCAUAUAGCGUGUGAAACCCAUCUCAGAUAUCACUUCUCUUAUCUGAUCUUCCCAUGAAGACAAAGAAAGCAAGUUCUCGUUCUUCUCCACUCUCUUCUUGAUCAAAAACUCUAUCUCUCUCUCGAUGGACCGUUCCCGAAAAAUCGAGAGCAGUGUCUCGUGAUCAACAUGCGUUAAAUGGUAUUGUAAGAUGAUUUGAAGUUGAAGAGUCAACCACUUAUCGUCACAAGAAAACUUAUCUUUCUGGAUGAGUUUCAACUCCUCCACAAGACUUUCGGUAACGUCAGGCAUGUGUCUAACAAUAACAUAGCCAAGAGAGGAAGGAGUCUUCUCGUAAAUCUCUCUCCGUAUAACCUCGUACGCUUUCGAAGUUGUAGUAAAAUCUGUAGACUCUGUUUCUGUGUAGAGGCAAGAGCAAGGGAACCGAAAUCUACUAAUGGAUCUUGUUGCGGACUCGGUGAUAGUGUUGCAUACAGCGAGCAUCUUAAACUCAACCUCUAUACAGAACUGAGGAUACGUGAGACUCUUCUCGCACUCACCAACAUCAUUAGGUAAUAUCACUAGACCAAUUUGGCAAGACGUUUCUACAUGAGAAUGUCUUAACCAAGGGCCAUAGACAUGCGUUACUGACGUGGCGUUCAAGGCACGUCCUAGAGGUAAAUGGACGCAGUUUCCUUUGACGUGACCUAUCAUUCCACAGUUGUAGCAGAAGUCGCCUAGGUUCCAGUACUUGAACCCCACGAACCGGUUUUGCUUUUGGCCUAUGUAGAAUCCUGGUCGGAGUGGCUUCUUGAGGUCAAGAUCUACUCGGAGGUAGAUGAACCUGUUGUUAUUAGACGUUCCGAGAAAAACGGCGUUGUUGUCGCCGACUUGUGAUUGAAGCGUGGGGAGGAAGUCAUCAGUGCAGAGGUACAGUGGUAAUCCCACGACAGCGACCAAGAAGGAGUCUGAAGUGAAGUCAAUGGUGUCUGAAGAGUUUAGAUCCUUUAUUACUAUGAGGACUCCAUUGACGUUAUAAGGUCGCCAUUUAAGAAUUUUUUCUUUGUCAUUCUUUUGUGUGAAUUCGAACAAGAACGUAUGACCGUCGUCUAGCUUUUUGACAGUCAUGUCGCCGGAGAGAACCCAUCGUUUCCGGAGUGUUUGUUCUGUGUCUGCAGCAGACGGUGGAGUUGAGUUCGUGAAGAACUUUCCGACGAGACAGUGUGAAGAAGAGCCGUCGAACAUGUUUUGCUUUCAGAAGAUUUUGAGUUUAUUAGUUUGAACACGCCAUGGUGAUUAUUACUAGAGUUUUAUAACAAACAGAAAAACAAAUAGGGACUACUUUUUCCUUUUCCUUGUUAGAUCUAGACAAUAUUUAUUUAAUUGAUUCUUAUGUUUUUGACAGA